AUUUAAUUUUCUAAAUUGCAAACCAAUGGAAGGAAAAGAGAACCCUUGUCUCCGAUAACCCACUCCAUCUCAACUUUCUCCACUGACAGCCGCUCACCACCACCGUCACAUGCCUUGCCAUCGCCGAGGAUCACUGCCUAUUGUCCUACAUGCACAUCUGUCUUCCUGUUUUCACACUCUACCUCAGAUCUAGGUCAAAUCCGCGCUAGAUCCAGUCAGAUCCGUGUCGCUGCUCUAGACACCAAACAGUGUUGCCGUUGCCGUCGCAGUCAAAGCCACCACCGAGCAGGCCUGUAGGUCCGCCGCCUGGUCUCUCUCACUCUCAUGAAGCCGCUGAUCAGGAUCACUGGUCCGUUGCGUUGCUGUCUCUCGCUUUUACAAAGCCGCCGCCGCCGCCGCCGUAGGCUCGACGAUCCAUCCCCUUUUCCAAUUGUCAUGAUCCUUCCUUUUUCUUCAUCAAAGGUUGUUAUUCCAUCCAUCUUAUAUAUUAUUAUUUUUAUUCUAUACAAAUUGAUUCUUAUGAUGUUAGUAUUAAGAUUGAUUGUGCUAUGUUUUUUUGUUCUUCCCUCUUUUAUAUGGGGAAUUUCAUCAAACAUGUUCUGUGCACUCUGCAUUGCAAAAAUAUGCAUGUGGUUAUCUUGGUUUUGUGAUUGCAUUAGACAAUUAUUUAUUUCCUUGCUUUCCGAACUAGAGUUUGUUGAUUAGAGUCAGAGAAGUUAUGCAGAGAAUUUUCACUCUCCACUGCAAUUGAACUUUGCUUCUGAAAUGUAUAUGGCUCUUUUUAUCUAGAAGUGUGACUAGAAAAUACUGAUGUUAUAGUAAUUCUCAUCAUGUGUAGGAACUUAGAAGUGUUAGAUUAGAUUCGAAAAUUGUAAAUGUAAAUUAUUGUCUUGCCUUUACUUUGUUUCUUCUUGUUGCUUCCUUAUUGUAUCUGUGAACUAUGAUGACUUGUUUUCUCUCAAUGUAACAAGUAGUGACAACAAUGAAUACUCACCUUCCUAUCUUAAUUACAUUUCACCAAAAUUUUAAUGCCUCAUAAUUCUUGCAUCAUAUUACAUGUGGUGUUUCUCAUGUUAAGUAUACAAAACUUAGCAAAUUAGAAUCAUCUUUAUUCAAGUAUUUAAAUCCAAAUUGAGGAUUCUUUGGGUUGACUUAAGCUAGAGCCAUAGUUCGAAUAACCUUGAUUUGUCUUAAAUAACAAGGAAAUAAAUACUUAGUUGAUUAUUGUCAUCCUUAUUCAAGUAUUUGUUCUUAUAUUAUGUAAAUAUCAAGCAACACAAUGUUAUAUUACCUUACUACAUGUUCUGUGCACUAAGCAAUAUGAAAGCUGCUUAGCUACCUUUAUUGUUGUCCCUAGUCAGAAGAAAGAAACUUGAAUUUUUACAAGAAAAAGAGGGAGAAAACAAUCAAGUUACCCUUGUUGUGGAUUGAUCUACAAUCAAGUAAGUGAUUAUGAUGUAAAUUGAAUUUGCUAACUAAGAAGUUAGGACUAGCAACUUCUUAAUUUGACUUUUCCAUUCAUUAUAUCCAUCCUUUUUCUUCUUUUUUUUCAUCGUUUAUUUUUUUAUUAUUCCUUUUUUAUUUUUUUACCAAAUCGAUUUUUUGGCAACAGAAUGUUGUUGUUGGGUUGGUAGAGAUUAUAAUUAGAGAGAGAAAAAGGAAAAGGAAGGGUCCUUUAAAUAUGGCCUCAACUGGAAGCAUUUUGGGUUUCGUAGAGAAGGCAAUCACUGGUAUUGUUAUCACUAUUAUCCUUUUUAAUGUUCCUUUUCAAUCUUAAUUUUGAUUCAUUAUUAUGCUUCCAUAAUUUAUUAUACACGAUCAGUUUGAAUGAGCUAUGGGCUUUGAUUUGUUGUUAUUGAGCUUUUUUUGUGUACUGCAUGCAUUUGUGUGUAUAGAAAGAAAACAGUGUUUGAUUGAUUUUUUUUUCUUUUGGUGUAUUCAUGAUGAUAAUUUUGUUAGUAGUAUUUUUUUAUGAUGAGUUCAGAUUAUUUAUCAUAGAUGAUAGAUAGAUAGGUAAAUUAAAUCAAUACCUAUCUGGGACACAAGAUUUUCUUAUUCUGUAUCAAUUUUACUUGGUUAUCACUAAGUAGUUUUCUAUCCAUCCUUUUGGAAUGUUCACUUCAUGCGUUGUGAUUAAUCUGCUAAGGGAGAUACAGGGAGGGAGGAGCGGCAGUUGCAGUGACAACACAAGUCUCCUCCAUUUGCAAUUAGUUGGAAUCAUCUUCAUGUGUCUCUACCUAACAGCUUAACAAUGAUUUUGGAAGAUCUGAUCCAAACUUUUAGUGAGGUACCAAAGAAUAUCAAUUUUGUACAACGUAACAAUCGCUUGUGUUGGAAAUUGUAAGUAGCAUUGUUGAUUUAUUAGAGUUUUGUGAUUUGUUUCUAAAUUAUUCUAACUUUUUUUGCCUUUUAUUUUUGGUUAAUACCCUUUUUUUUCAGUAAUAAGAGAGGGAAGCCUAUGAUUAUAGACCUAGGUCUAUAAAGCCUUAAUAAAUCAGACUAAAAAAGAUAUAAAACAUCCUUAAUCUAAUCAAAUGACAAAUAUUGAUGGACAAACUUUUGGUUAUAUAUGUGGGAUGGAGGGAGUGUAAUGUUAAUAAUGUCCAUAUACUAAACAAUUAUUUAGUUUUAGCAAGAUAAUUGUUUCUUUAUGUGCAGUGCUCUGGAGUUUUUUCUAGUUAAAAGAAAGAUUAGGAAAUCCUCGUAGCUACAGGUUUUGAACUUUUCAACUAGCCAAUUUCUAAGAAGGAAAGAUUUGUAAGUUGUGCAUCCACUAUAAGUAGUGUAUUUUGAUCUUCAUAUAGGAUACUUAAUUUUAUUAUUUUGAUCUUCAUGUAGGAAACAUCUCUUAAAGCUGUUUCACAAAAGGAAUGGAUAGUGAAAAAUUCAAAACAUUGAUUCUAGUUGAUGCAGCUAAGAAUCUGUUUAAAGAAAAGAAGACCAAAAAAAUGCAACAUAAAAUCGAAUAUAAGCUAGGAAGAAAAAAAAGAGUUGCGGUUUGAACAAAGUACUACUUCAUUUCGAAAAUUAUUCUGUUAAUUUAAGAGAAGAAAAUUGUAGCAUUAAAUUAGCAAGAGAGCAAAGACCAACUUCAAAACUAAGAAAACCGUGUCAUUGGUGUCAAGAUGAAAAAUAUUGCCAAGCUAUCAAUUCCUUGAAAAGUAGCCAAAGGUUUAUAGUUUUGAAUUCUUUAGUAUAUUCAUGAUUUAUGAUUUUCCUUUCUCAUUUACUUUUAAAUUCUUAGAUCAAUUGCUAAAAACGAAAGCUAGGCUACUUUUCAAGGUGCAACUUUAGAUCAUUGCUUACACUCGUAUUGCUACAUUGAUGUAACAUAGUUAUAGGCUUGUAGAAUUUUUUGUUAUUUAGAUUGUAACAUGAUUUAUUACUUUUCAAGAAAAAAUUGUGUAUCAAUAUUUUGAGUCUAAUGAAAUAUCUCAUUUUGUA